ACGGAGGGUGCAAGCGUUGCUCGGAAUUAUUGGGCGUAAAGGGUAGGUAGGUGGUCUUAUUUGUCUGGGGUGAAAGCCUUGAGCUUAACUCAAGAAGUGCCUCAGAAACGGUAAGACUGGAGUCCUGGAGAGGGUCGUGGAAUACCCGGUGGAGCGGUGAAAUGCGUAGAGAUCGGGUGGAACACCAGCGGCGAAGGCGGCAUCCUGGCCCUGACCUGACGCUGAGGCGCGAUAGCGUGGGGAGCAAACGGGA
rnacentral:rRNA from 1 species